GGCAGUCUUGGCCUAAUGGUUAGAGAGUUGGACUUGUAAGCUGAAUCUGAAGGUUGUGGGUUUGAGUCUCAGGUCUGGCA